UGGCGAACGGGUGAGUAACACGUGAGUAACCUGCCCUUGACUCUGGGAUAACUCCGGGAAACCGGGGCUAAUACUGGAUAUGAACUGUCCCGGCAUCGGGGUGGUUGGAAAGUUUUUCGGUCAAGGAUGGACUCGCGGCCUAUCAGCUUGUUGGCGGGGUAACGGCCCACCAAGGCGUCGACGGGUAGCCGGCCUGAGAGGGCGACCGGCCACACUGGGACUGAGACACGGCCCAGACUCCUACGGGAGGCAGCAGUGGGGAAUAUUGCACAAUGGGCGAAAGCCUGAUGCAGCGACGCCGCGUGAGGGAUGAAGGCCUUCGGGUUGUAAACCUCUUUCAGUAGGGAAGAAGCGAAAGUGACGGUACCUGCAGAAGAAGCGCCGGCUAACUACGUGCCAGCAGCCGCGGUAAUACGUAGGGCGCAAGCGUUGUCCGGAAUUAUUGGGCGUAAAGAGCUCGUAGGCGGUUUGUCGCGUCUGGUGUGAAAACUCAAGGCUCAACCUUGAGCUUGCAUCGGGUAC
rnacentral:rRNA from 1 species